UACGAAGGGUGCAAGCGUUGUUCGGAAUUAUUGGGCGUAAAGAGUACGUAGGCGGCUUAGUAAGUUGACUGUGAAAGCCCCAGGCUCAACCUGGGAAUUGCAGCCAAAACUGCUUCGCUAGAGUUUGGUAGGGGAUAAUGGAAUUCCUAGUGUAGGGGUGAAAUCCGUAGAUAUUAGGAGGAAUAUCGGUGGCGAAGGCG
rnacentral:rRNA from 1 species